rnacentral:rRNA from 1 species
GCGACCGGCGCACGGGUGAGUAACCCGUAUCCAACCUUCCGGUUACUCGGGAAUAGCCUUUCGAAAGAAAGAUUAAUGCCCGAUGGUAUAACAAGUCUGCCUGGACUUGUUAUUAAAGAUUUAUCGGUAACCGAUGGGGAUGCCUUCCAUUAGGCAGUUGGCGGGGUAACCGCCCCCCAAACCCACCAUGGAUAGGGGUUCUGAGAGGAAGGUCCCCCCCAUUGGAACUGAGACACGGUCCAAACUCCCACGGGAGGCAGCAGUGAGGAAUAUUGGUCAAUGGGCGAGAGCCUGAACCAGCCAAGUAGCGUGAAGGAUGACUGCCCUAUGGGUUGUAAACUUCUUUUAUACGGGGAUAACAAGCGGCACGUGUGCCGUUCUGCAUGUACCGUAUGAAUAAG